CACUAAAAUAGCCAUUAGCCGUAUAAAAGGUUUGUGGUCAAGUCUCUAGGACGAGUUGGUAGGUAGACUGCAGCAGCCCUGAGAAGUGAAUCUGUUUCCGAAAAAAAACAAAAAAAACUUACUUUCUUUUCGACCAAUUCCAAGAAAGAUCUUUUUUGUUUUGUCUACUUUACAGAAACAGAGAAGAUGAAACCCAGCACACAAUUUGUUCUCACCUUAACAGCAGUCUUAUACAUCAUCGCAAUCACAGAUGGCGCGCAGACUUGCAUGUUGCAGUGCAUGAAGGAUGUGUUAAAGUGUAAACGAGACGAGAACCUGGGCAUCACGUCAGAGAUGGAGUGUUGUGACAAGUACACACUGUGUUAUUUCAUGUGUCAACCAGAUGCAGAGUCAGCUCCACCUUGCAGUUCUUCCAAAGGGAAGCGAGGUCGAUGGAACAAGCGCUCAAUCUGGGACAAGAAAUCACUGCUUGAGGAAAACAACGACUUUGAAAGUCAUUUCUAUUGAAUACGAAACAGACGACACAGCAACCUACACCAACAACAUAAAUAACAUCAUCCUUUUUUUAAAUAUAUAGAUUGUGUAUAAAUAAUUCAUUCUAAUUAUUCGACUUUUGAAUACCAAAUUUGGAACAAGAAAAACGUUAUUUAGAAAAACGUUAUUCAAAAAGCGAUCCUUCUGGUUCUAGCACGGGAUAUUACCUAGCCGCCCGAGUAUAUAGUACAAGCGGUUAGAGGAUAAUAUACAUUUUUAUCAAUUAUAAUUAGUCGCCAGAGAAAUGUUUAUGCUCAAUAUUUCUUUAUUAUUAUUAUUAUCAUUAUUUCAUUUGAUAAAAACAUUAAUAAAGUUCAUCAAGAAAAAAGUU